rnacentral:rRNA from 1 species
UACGUAGGGUCCGAGCGUUGUCCGGAAUUACUGGGCGUAAAGAGCUCGUAGGUGGUUUGUCGCGUUGUUCGUGAAAACUCACAGCUCAACUGUGGGCGUGCGGCGAUACGGGCAGACUGGAGUACUGCAGGGGAGACUGGAAUUCCUGUGUAGCGGUGGAAUGCGCAGAUAUCAGGAGGAACACCGGUGGCGAAGGCGGGUCUCUGGGCAGUAACU